rnacentral:lncRNA from 1 species
CGGGCCACCACGGUCCCCUGCACACAGCUGCUGACUUGCUCUUAAGUAGCUUCCUGAAGACAGAAGCCAAGUGGAGCAGAGAUUUCUCAAGAUACGGGAACAGCACGUGGUAGCCCGUGCUUCAUUGCAUGUCUGCUGAGGGCGUGCAGACACGACAGCUGUGGGUAGCACAGUGGGCUCGUCACUGAGGGCCUCUAAAUGGACCCAGAGGGCUAAAAAGGAGCCAAACAAUACUUCUGUGAACUCGCACGACGCCAGUGCAUUUCAGGGCUUCAUAAGAAGCAAGAUAGAACUCAUUUGUUCUCUGUAACCUCAGCGUUGUCCCAGGAUGCUUGCCCUAUCCCUAUUCUCUCCAUCCGCCGCUAAUCUGAUUGCCUGAGGUGCUCUCAAAACAAAUUUGGCCCAAGAAAACCCUAUUGCUUAUCUGAUGUGGAUGCCAUAAACUAGGACAAUGGAGAGAAAGCGUCUGGGGUGUAUGAGGCAAGCCAGCAGGAACUAGCUGAGCUGAUGGGCUCUUUCUGUCAGCAGCACAGCAGGGCAGGCACCCUUAGGGGCAAGCGCUUAUGUUACUAGACUUUCAUAGUGUCUGUCCCUUUGGUUUCAGCUGAAACCAUUCUGAGAAAGAGAUACCGUGUACAUCUAAUAUUCUUGCUGGUCAUUAUCAUUGCUGUUCUUUUGAGAUAAGGACUUCUAUAUAGCCCAGGCCAACUCUUGAAUUCCCAGCAAUCCUUCUGCCUCAGCCGCCUGAGAGCUGGGAUUGCAAGUGUGCCCUGAUAUGCCCAUUUCCUGUCUGACAUAAACUGAGCAUGCCCAGAGGAGUCUUCAUCCACCAUUUUCACCUUUUAAAUGUCUACUCCACGACUCUGAACUGAAUCUAUGAAUGUUUUCAGCUACCUUUCCUGCUUGCAUGAGGAACUUAAACUGAGCAUGCGCAGCACCGCAGACCGCCCCCGCAAGGCGCUUUUCUAGGUGGCUGUGUGUAAGCAUGAAUAAUUCCAGUGCACUCCUGACUCACUGCAAUAAACCUUUCUCUGAUCG